UUGUAAAGGGCAAAGCAAAUGAUGCUUUUGCAGGAAGGAGAUGCCAGUGUCCCUGGGGCUGGCUUCAGCAACAACGCCACCAUUUGAAAACCACCCUCCUCGGAGCGUCCCACCAGUACCCAAGGACACUGUCCAAACCCUACCCACUGCAUAGGCAUGAAGCCACCCACAGUGGCUCAGGCCAGACACCCUGCCUCACACAGGCCAUGGAAGAAACACUUCACAUUCCUUCUGAGAAAAUCUGUCAUGACUCUUCAAAUGUGUGUUAUAGAUUCUGGUAACAUCAGACGGAAGAGCAGAGCCACUAGCAAAGGGCGGCUGUAGGUUUACAGCACCCUGCACAUGGUUUAAUGCACUCCUGUAGCCAUCCCGAAAGCCUUCAUUUUUAAACAGGGGCUCCCGCAUUUUCAUUGGCUGGGCCCAGCAAAUUUUGUAGCUAGUCCUGGGCAAGAGGCUUGGGUUUGGGAAGUGGUUGAAACCUGACAGUCUUGGCAAAAAGACUGCUGUGUGACAGCAGCUCGCUGAGCCAGGCUGGGAGGCUGGGCAGGGGACUGCAGAGACAUGGGGAAGAGGCGCCAUGCUGGAAACCCAGCCUCCAAACUGCCCAAGACCAAGUCUUCCAACCCUGAUGGCUGAAGAGUUGGCCGAUAAGGCCUCCCCGGAACAGCGGGACUGGCUGAAAGUAAACUUGCAUUAUCAAGGAAGUCAUGGUCGCACCAGACCGAAGAGCGGCACAGUGCUGAUGCAGAAUGGAGGGGGCUUUAGGAACACCCCAUCCAGAUGGAUCCCCAGGAGCCCUGACCCGCAGGUUCAAUCCAACCCUUUUAUUUUAUAGAUGAGGAAGCUAAGCUGUGUGAGGGGAAGUAACCAGCCAAGGCCACCCACAAAGAGAGGCAGGACCAGACCCCGGGAGCUUUCAGCUUCCCCUUCCAACCUCCCAACUUAAUGAGUUCAAAUAAAAUUCAUAUACUGGGUGUAUGCCCCCCACCCCCAAUCGGCCCCUGGGGUCCUCAACACAAAUCUUUGGGUACUUGUCUUUGCCUUUGGGGUAAGGGAGUCUUGCUGUGCAGAUACGUGUAACCUUAUAAACCCCAAGGGAGAAGAUGGCUUCCUUCCAUCAGUACAAUCUCUGUUCCAUCAUCUAGCAAAAAGUGGGAAGAGCCCCGGUGCAGGGUUCAGUCUUUCCAUGUCCAAGGGAUUUAUAAGCCCAUUUGUGUCUGGGAAGGGUGAAGCUGAACCCAGUUUUUUCUAGUUAGCAGGUACAGGGUAACGCAAGGUGGAUGAAAUGAGGGGGGCACUCUGGGAAAUACUGCCAGCCCACCACACCUAAGACAUAGGUGCAGAUGGCCACCAGCAAGUGAUGGGAUCUCUGCCACCCAUCAAGUUUUGUCUUUUUUUGGGCAGGGGGAGGUGGGGGGCUUAACUAAAUCAAACCAUCCUUAACACUGAGUGAUUUCAAUUUGUUUUCUAUACUCCCUCCUUCCCUCCUUUCCUUCUCUGAACUAAUAGAUAUUAAGCACUAACUAUGUGUCACACAUGUUCUGGUUGCUGGGCAUAUAGCACUGAAGAAAUCAGACCAUGUUUCACUAUUUACACUUUUUUCUUUUUUUUUUUUCUUUUUUUUAUUUAUUUUUGAUACAGAGCAUGAGAGGGGUAGAAGCACAGAGAGAAGGAGACACAGAAUCUGAAGCAAGCUCCAGCCUCUGAGCCGGCUGUCAGCACAGAGCCCGAUGCGGGGCUUGAACCCAGGAACGUGAGAUCUGACCUGAGCCGAAGUCGGAGCCCCAACCGACUGAGCCACCCAGGCGCCCCUACACUUUUUUCUUUUUAAGUAGGCCCCACACUUAAUGUAGGGCUCGAACUCACAACCCUGAGCUCAAGAGUCAACCCUGAUAUCAAGAUGCUCUACCACUGCGCCAGCCAGGGGCCCCACACUAUUUACAUUCUAAAGGGAGGAAACAAAAAGAGUUAAGAAAUAUAUGAACAUGGGGCUCCUGGAUGGCUAAAUCAGUAUCCAACUCUUGGUUUCCGCUCGGGUCAGGUCAUGAUCUCACAACUCGCGGGCUCGAGCCCCACAGGGGGCACCAUGCUGAAAGUGCGGAGACUGCUUGGGAUUCUCUCUGCCCCUCCCCCGCUUGUUCUGUCUCUCAAAAUAAACUUUAAAAAAUUAAAAAAAAAUAAAGGAAUAUAUACCAUUUAG
rnacentral:lncRNA from 1 species